GCCGUCGGUAUUUUCAGAGAACGAAAUUUUUCAAACUAAGCUGACGUUUCAGCCUUUUUCCCCCACAUGAAUGCCUGCUAACAGAAAUAUGAAAGCAGUUUCACACAACCAGUGAGUGAAAGUUAAACCUACUGUUCUCUCCAAUAAGCAGGUAACCAUUGUUAAAUCUGCAUUAUACUCAGUCAGAGAGCGUGCAUGAAUGGAUCUGAGAUAAUGUAAUUUACUGGUUACAAGUUUGGUUACGGCAGAAUUUUUUUAGGCCUGUAUUGUUUUAUUUUUGGCUUUGAAAGCUAAAGGGAACUGAAUUUAUAGUGGAUUUUGGACUCUUUCAGCUUAGUUUUUUUUUUUUUAUUCAUUAUGACAUUUGUGUCAGGGGUGAGAUUUAAUAAGUUUAAAACAUCUAUUAAAAUACAAACACUGUUUUCAUAAAUCUGGGGGGGCUCUGUUGACAAAUUUGAAUCUUGCAAAACUUUUGUGAUUACAAACUAAUGUUUUUGUUCUUUUCAACAUCUGAAUUUGGUAUUAACAAAAUAAAAACGCUGGCAAGCGAAGGAAGCGGUGCUCACAAGCACCAGGUUCAGAUGUCAGGCGAGGGGCAACCAAUCAGAAGAAAGUGGGCUUUUACUCUUUUCUGCCAUAAAGACAUCUGACAACCUCCCCCAGUACCCUAGAUCGUCAGGGUUGACAAUUCAGUAUAUAGAUGUGGCUAUCUACACAUCUAUCUGGAGUAAUUUCCAGGUUUUUCCAAGGGUAUACCUAGACCUGAUGCGUAGCCAGUCAUUUUGUUCUGGAAGCAGGUCAGACACCAGUUCGGGAAAGAGAAACAAGGGUGACCAGAAGAAGGUAUCCGAGGGUGAAGAAUUAAAAUAUGCAAGUCUUAAAGAGAUGGCUUGUUUCGCACAGAGGAUGAGCUGCAUAAAGACCCAGUUUAAGAUGCUUUUAAACUCAUCCUCAUCCUGUUUAACACAACUUUAUUCUAAUUGGCUGCCCCUUGCAAACUUGUGGGUGGAGCUUGUGAGAUGACC
ensembl:lncRNA